UACGGAGGGGGCGAGCGUUGUCCGAAUUUAUUGGGCGUAAAGCGCACGUAGGCGGAUCUUUUAAGUCAGGGGUGAAAUCCUGGAGCUCAACUCCAGAACUGCCUUCGAUACUGAAGAGCUCGAGUCCGGGGAGAGGUGAGUGGAACUGCGAGUGUAGAGGUGAAAUUCGUAGAUAUUCGCAAGAACACCAGUGGCGAAGGCGGCUCACUGGCCCGGUACUGACGCUGAGGUGCGAAAGCGUGGGGAGCAAACAGG
rnacentral:rRNA from 1 species